AGUAAUAUGUUAAAUAUAAAAUAUAUUAUUUAUUAUUGAAACAUAUUUUUAUAUUUAGUGUUUUAAUAUAAAAAAUAAAAAUACAUUAUAUGAAUAUUUUUUAUAAUAAAAUUCUUUAUAUGAAUAUAAUUUUAUAUA
rnacentral:misc_RNA from 1 species